UAGCUUUAUCCUAUUUACUUGGUAACUGUAUGGGCAAAAUUGAUCUUAUUUGUACAUGUAUUUAAAGUUGAGACUUGAGGGCCAUAUUAGUAUGGGAUGUUGAUUGCCAGACCCAGAGCGAUUUAUCAAGCAGAAGGCUUCAGAAUUUGAAUCAGCCGCCUUGGUCCUUUAGUCGCUUGAUGAUUUACUGCUCAAUUCCCAUGAAGAAGAAUGUCUCAUCUCUUUCAUGAUUUAUUGAACCUGGAUAAACCCUAACGCUCUGCUGUUUCAUGAGAACACACACAGAGGACAGAGACAAUGUAGAACUCUUAUUUAUUAUGGUAAGAUGCGUGAGUUAAGUUGGCAAGAAGAGAUAGCAGUUGCCCUGCACUUUUGCUAGAUGCACAAUCAUUCCUUAACAAGGGAAUCAUCCCUAGGUGCUUGCUCAGCCACUGGAAUUCUUCUUUGAAAGGCCUUUAAUUAGUGUGGGAAACUUCCUGUUAUUUUUUUUAUUAUUAAGGUCAAAGGAUUCCUUAAAAAAACAAAAUAUAUAGGUCAAAGGAUCUAUUGGGUUCAUUUGUACCUGGGUGUCGGAAACAGGAUGCUGGAUUGAUAAAUAUUUACAAGGAAGAAUGAUAAUUGUAGAAUGAGGAUUUGGAUUUGAGCAAUAGAACAGUCUUCACAGGCAACAGAUCCAUUUAAAUUUUUUAUUUCCACUGAAAUUCUUCUGCAAUGGAUGAGGCAAGAUCAUUGAUUUAA